rnacentral:rRNA from 1 species
AUUGAACGCUGGCGGCAUGCUUUACACAUGCAAGUCGAACGGUAACAGGCCGCAAGGUGCUGACGAGUGGCGAACGGGUGAGUAAUGCAUCGGAACGUGCCCAGUCGUGGGGGAUAACGCAGCGAAAGCUGUGCUAAUACCGCAUACGAUCUAUGGAUGAAAGCGGGGGACCGUAAGGCCUCGCGCGAUUGGAGCGGCCGAUGUAAGAGUAGGUAGGUGGUGGGGUAAAGGCUCACCAAGCCAACGAUCUGUAGCUGGUCGGAGGGGACGACCAGCCACACUGGGACUGGGACACGGCCCAGACUCCUACGGGAGGCAGCAGUGGGGAAUUUUGGACAAUGGGCGCAAGCCUGAUCCAGCAAUGCCGCGUGCAGGAAGAAGGCCUUCGGGUUGUAAACUGCUUUUGUACGGAACGAAAAGGUUUGGGUUAAUACCCUGGGCCGAUGACGGUACCGUAAGAAUAAGCACCGGCUAACUACGUGCCAGCCGCCGCAGUAAUAC